rnacentral:lncRNA from 1 species
AAUUGCAAUAGGAUGAUCUGACUUUGUGGGGCAGUGCAUGUGGUGCUUUGAGAUGACAAGGCACCUUCACAACCAUUAUCUGUUAAUCUUCACAAUAAAUCCUGUGAGACUGAGAAAUUGUAAACCUCACAAUCAAGAGAGCUGCGUGAUCCGAACGAGUAGGCAAACCAGGCUCGGGGAACUGGCACAGUCCCCACGGAUCCACAUGGAAGCUGAGUCUUGCCAGUCUGCAUGGACAUUCCCCUCUCUAAAAGCCAUAAGACGUUCUACUUGGCAGCACUACAUAGUAGAAAAAUGUGGAUAUAGAAGUUGGGAAACCUGGAAUGUGGUUCUCACUAGCUUGGUGACCUUGGGUAAACUAUUUAGGUUUUCUGAGCCAAGCUUUUUCUAUCAUAAAAUGGGAGUAAUAAUACCUCCCUCCCCUAAGUACAAUGUUGUUUUGAGAAUUAAGUGUAUUUGUGAGAGUGCUUAGGAAACUGUGAAGACCUCUGGAUAUCUUACUCACUAUUUUUUAGUUUGUCAAAUCAAACUCUUACUCUAGAAUGGAUAAGUCUAUUCACAGUGAAUGUUCACUUA